GACGAACGCUGGCGGCGUGCCUAAUACAUGCAAGUUGAGCGCUGAAGGUUGGUACUUGUACCAACUGGAUGAGCAGCGAACGGGUGAGUAACGCGUGGGGAAUCUGCCUUUGAGCGGGGGACAACAUUUGGAAACGAAUGCUAAUACCGCAUAAAAACUUUAAACACAAGUUUUAAGUUUGAAAGAUGCAAUUGCAUCACUCAAAGAUGAUCCCGCGUUGUAUUAGCUAGUUGGUGAGGUAAAGGCUCACCAAGGCGAUGAUACAUAGCCGACCUGAGAGGGGGAGCGACACAAGUGGGACUGACACACCGCCAAAACCCCGACGGGGGGAAGAGGUAGGGAUUGUUGGGAAGUGGAGUAAAGUCGGAAGGAGCACCGCCGCGUGAGUGAAGAAGGUUUUGGGGACGUAACACUCUGUUGGUAGAAAAAAGCGUGGGGGAGAGUGAAAACCCCAUCAUGGGAGGGAACCUACCAAGAAGGGGCGGGCAAACCCGGGC
rnacentral:rRNA from 1 species